rnacentral:other from 1 species
AUUACCCUGCCGUGUUCGUGAUGCUGCGACUGCGGUUUUGCGCCAACAGUUAAUACUUGGAUCUUCAUCUCACGGUGGUGACGCGAUAGGCUUCGGCCAAGGCGGAUCUGCCGGGUCGGGAUCCUUCCUGCGAAAGCAGGUGCAAAACUACGCAACACAUCGGCAUGGCGGGGUUUUU